rnacentral:lncRNA from 12 species
AUGUGGCUCGACUCAAGAAAGAACCUUGAGAGCCUUGAAAUAUCACAAGGAUUUGGGCUUUGUCUACGCUUCUGUCUACUUAUUGAUCUCAUUGUCACCACAGGUUGGAAAUUUCCAGAUGUUCUUGAAUUAAAGAGCCUUGCUGACCACCUGGUUGGAGGCAUGACCUGUGAAAGGGAGACCAGAACCUCCACCUUCAGGAAUGGCAGACACAACCAAAUAGGAACGUGGAUGCACAGAAGGGGAAUCACUACAAAAUGAAUCAGAUUUACCUCGCAAAUCCAUCUGUGACAAUUCCAGAAUUCGGAUGGAUGCUAGAGCUUUGGAGUAGAAUGGAAACAGCUACAUAUGAGAAGGCAAAGCUGUUGCUCCACAGAGAAGCCACUGCCAGUGAACUGAGAACCCAGCCAGAGCUUCCAGACUGUUCAGCAAAGUGUGCCACGGACAAUCCACAGCCAAUUAAUUAACACUGAGCUCCAUGCAUAUUAACUUGUGGUAGAGUGCUUGUAAUCUAUCAUCAACCUAUUACAAAAGUUAUUAGCCUAUUAUUUUAGAAAUGAUUUAGUCCAUGUCAUUUCCUACAUUAUGGUCUGAAGGACCAGAGAAGCCAGGCUGGAUCCAAUAGAAUGCCUUUCUUCUUUCUGCUUUAAGAAGAGAAAGGAGUUUUAUGGUGUCUCCUCACUAAAAUUCCAACAGUUUAUUGUUUCAGGUGUAACCCAGGGGCUCAGAUGAUUAUUUCAGCCUUUCUCCACCUUUUGGCUUUUAUUUUUUUCUUUGUUUUAUUUCCAUCAGAGAGAAUGGAGAUCAUUUUAAACAGAUGAGCAGCAGCCCUGAGAGUGAGAUGAUAAAAAGUGGCUAUUUGGACUUUAAGAUUAUUUUAUUUUGCUCAUUUGUUUGUUGAUAAUUGUGAUUAAAAAAACAACACAUAACAUAAAAUGCAUCAUCUCAAUCACUCUAAAGUGUGCCCCAGGGUUAAGUAUAUUCACACUGUUGUGCAACAGAUCCCUAAAAAUUUUUUAUCUUGAAAAACUGACACUCUAUGCCCACUGGCCGCCAUCUCCCCAUCUCCCCCACCUCUUGGCCCCUGGCCACCACCAUCCUGCUGUCUGUUUCUAUGAGUUUGGCUACUCCAGAGACCUCACAUAAGUGCAAUCAUAUGGUCUUGUCCUUUUAUGAUUGGCCUAUUUCUCUUCAAUCAUGUAUGUCCUCAAGAUUCAUCCAUGUGGUGGCAUGUGUCAGAAUUUCUUUCCUAAGACUGAUAAGACUAAUUUUAUUACUUGUUUUCUUUUAGCCUACAAACAUGCUCAAUAAUUCCAUUUCAUAACAAUAGAAAUAAAAAAAUAAUGAUUUCCUCUCUUGUAUGUGUU